UCGGCACUUAUAUGACCUUAUUGUUGCAACGCAUCAGGUGCCGUAUAACUCUUUCUAAAACUAAAAAACCCCAACUCUGCUUCCUUUUCCUUCACUGGAGCUUAAAUUUUAUGAAUUCAUUUAUUAUGCGCACAUUUAUUGACCAACUUCACUACAUACCACUACUUCCAACGUAUUGACUAAGAUGACUCCUCGCUCCUCCUCCUGUCCCUGGUAUUAACUUAUAGGAAAUAACAAGGGGAAGUGAUUUUGAGAGGAACAGACUAUGAAAUGUACGGCGUGACAUAGUUUCGAGGCACUGCUUCACCGAUCUCGCAUAAAUAACAUGAUGCAAAGAAGGGCAGCUGACGAGUGAAAUAUCUCUCACUAGUCAUCUCCGAUCAAAUAUACUUUUAUUUAAUGGUUCUGUGUAACUACUGCUGCAAGUCUUGCAAAUGUUAGAUAGGGUUAUAGAUGCUAAUUAUGAUGUUUUCUUAAAGGUGGUAUGUUCAUCCUUGUCAUGAUUUUUCUGUGUGUGACCUUGCUUUGUGUUAGCAAAGUUCAAAAGCAAUUUCCUUGUUUCUCAUAGGAAUGCAUUAUAAUAAUAGCAUUGUACAUGGCUCCAUGAGGUAUUUGAUGGUCUCUCAGCCUUUUAACUUCACUGCACUUGCUUCUGUUAUGACUCCCACAUAGCAGCUAAUAAAAUACCUAGGCAUUUGUCAGCCCAGUUGAGCAUUUGGUAUUUCGUUUUCCAUAUCAAAAUAAAAGUCAGAUCCAAGUAUGGGUCAGACUGUUUCACUUUUGUGGGUAUUCAGGUCUCAUGUUUGGUUUAGCACCAUGCGUUUGAGUGCUCUUAAUAUUUAUUGUCAAGUUAUUGGAUAGGCUCCUUUGCUUCUUAGUGACAAUUAAAGAAAUGUCUUUCUUGUUUUUAUGCUUUGAUUUCUGUGAAAUCUUUAGUUAACAGAGUGAGGUUCUUUUCCAUUCCCAUAGCUGAGUUGGUCAGCUAAGCUUUUUACUCUAACAAACUGUUUAAGAAGGUGAAAGUAUUUGUGAGCAUGUGUCUCCGAGCGUUCACAUUAAUUUCAUUGUCUCCCACUCCCAUUUAAGCUGUGGGAUGCCUCACCUUCAAUUAUACAAAUGUUAGCCACUGUGAUUAGGCCUACUGGCUUUAUGUUUAAACUUAAGAGAUGUCUCAUCAUAUUCUUGAUUGGAGAUUAUUUCAUUGGUCAUUAAAUAAUUAUUUAUUAUUGUU